CAAUUUGGCAAGGAUGGCUUAUGCAGAAGCCUGCUGAUUUGAUUUAAGGGACUCUGGGACAGAGUUCCCCUGUUUUAAAAUAAUUUCACCCUGACUAUCUCAUAUCUUCCAUUGAAAAACGUGUGUGGGGUGUGUGUGUGUGUGUGGUGUGUGUGUGUGUGUGUGUGUGUGUGUGUGUGUGUGUGUGUGUAGGGGGAGGAAGGAGCUAGCAAGCAUUUUAUUUUAAAAUACAAACCUACAUGGAAGGGUUAACACAUUAGAGUACUAUAUUUAAUCCUAUAGCGAUCAUUUAUAUCUUAGUGCCAAUUAUACCCAACCACUCAACUACCAGCUGAGUCCUUUAAACUAAUGGUAUAGAAAUUUUUAUUGGAUGUGGGUGGGGGAGUAAAAAGAGCAUUUCAGAGCUUCGGGCACUGUUGGGAGGCCAGGCUUGGGUGGAAGGAGGUGGGGUGGGGGGAAUGCCCUGGGCAAUCUGAAGACUAUCAAGUUGAUUUUUUUUUUCCUGCUUCACAUUUCUUACUUCAUCAAUGUCUACUUGUUUUCUAUCUCAAAUAUUUUUAUGUGUAUUCCUAUGGACUUUUAUCCUUACAUGUUCUGUUUGAAGGAAUUACUAAACCAACAUUUAUUGAACAACUACUUUAUGUGAGCCACUUGGGGGAUAUGAAGAAGGAGGAGGAGGAGGAAGAUGAAGAGGAGGAGGAGGAGGAGGAGAAGAAGCAGCAGCUUAGGACAGAUAAUCGUUCCCAGAUUUUGUGACUCCUUUUGGGAUGUAGCCUGCCCCUUGGACGUGUUCUAAUGUCUCAGGUGCAGUGGCCAGUUCCACUGAUUGCAAAUCCACCAUUCUCCACGUUGCACCAUUAUCAUUAUCAUCUGCAGCUUCAGGUCUGACUAGAAAUCCCUAGCAGGUGAGAUUAGCCCGUAGUGUUAGAACUCAAAAGGGUGGAGAUGUGGUCUUCUGGCCAAGUAAGUCAGUUUGGAAACUAUGCUUUCUGUGUGAACUCACAUUCCUUUGGCUACCCUGCUGUCUGAAUUAUUGACUGAUUAUAGACCAUGCUUACCUGUUUUGCCCUUUAUAUUCUGAUGCUCCUAAAUAACCAAUCUGUAUUUCUGGACGUGGACAUACCUUUUGCCUCUGGUCCUCGUCUGCUUGCUUCCUGGUAAGGACUGACCCUUUGACUUUGUUUAAAUCCUUUACUUGUUUCUGGCUCUUUUCUGUAGGCACCAUCCAUUUUGCAGACAGUGCUGCCGAUAAUGCUAGCAUCUUUCAAGUCCUAGCUAGAAUUCUAUCAUCUACUUUUCCAACCUCCUUAAUUCUAGUGUCUUUCCCCUUCGGAUGAUCUCCAAAUUAUCCUGUCUAUAACUGGUUUGUACAUAGUUGGCUAUGUAUUGUUUUUUACAAUAAACUGUGUCCUCGUUGAGAGUUGAAACUGUCU
rnacentral:lncRNA from 1 species